rnacentral:rRNA from 1 species
GUGCCAGCAGCUGCGGUUAUACAAAAAAUACAAGUAAAUUUUAUUAAAUUAAGUUAAAUUGUAAAAUAUUUAAUAAUAAAAAAAUUUUUAGGUGAAAUUUUAAUUAUUUUAUUUUUAAAAAAGAAAAAUUUAUUGAAGCUAAAAAAUUUUGUUAAUAAACUAGGAUUAGAUACCCUAUUAUUAAAAAAUGUAUUUUAAAAAGUUAGAGUAGUAAUAGUUAUGUUCUUGAAACUCAAAAAAUUUGGCGGUAUUUUAGUCUAUUCAGAGGAACCUGUGGUGUAAUCGAUAAUCCACGAUGAAUCUUACUUAUUUUUGUUUUUCAAUUUGUAUACCGCCGUUAUUUAAAAAUUUUUUGAAAAUAAUAAUUUUUAUAAUUUUUUAUUAAAGAAAAAGUCAGGUCAAGGUGCAGUUUAUAUUUAAGUAUUUCAUGGGUUACAAUAAAUUUAUUUAUAUGGAUUAAAUUAUGUAAUUAGUUUAUGAAAGUGGAUUUGGUAGUAAAUUUUUAAAGAUWAAAAAAUUGAUUUUAGCUCUAAAAUAUG